UCUUCCGUGGCGCAAUUGGCUAGCGCGUUCGACUGUUACUCCUAUGGGAUGCUGUCUAUCGAGAGGUUCCUGGUUCAAGCCCAGGCGGAAGAG
rnacentral:tRNA from 1 species